CCCAACUAAUUAAAAUAUAAACAGAUUGAACGAGUUAUCAAAAUAUGAGAUCAUUUUGUCGGAUUACCAAAGUAGUUGGUCCACUUCAAAUGGGCCUUUUAGCCCAUUCUUAAAUAUACACAACCAAAGAAAGAAGACAAUUUGAUGUUCAAAGGAAAAAACCAAGAGCAAGAGAAACACGGCGACUUAGGGGUGAAAGGUCUCCUUUUUUUUAUGGUAAUAUGCUGAAACUAGUUUCUGAAAUGUUGUGCGCUAGAGGAGGUCAGAAGUUGAGGCCUUAUCUAGGUGCGCAAGCUAGUGGUUUUCAUACUUCAAAGACAUGUUUGAGAAAUUGUUGGACCAUGUAAAAGUGGAGUAAUUGUUGUGCAGAUCUCACAUCAAGGCAAAAGAGGUUGCAAUGAAUUGAUGUAAAGGCAUGAUGAAUGGAUGGAUUUGGGCUUUAAAGAAACUGACUUCAAUAAGAAGUGCUGAAUUUAUGUCUCUUCAGUGUCCUGCUGUUAUCUUUUAACCUUUGCUUCUGUAUAAUUAAUAAAACAGACAUGUGCUGCAGCUUCAAGAAAAAGAUAGAUUUGGACUGUGUUGAGGAAAGAGAUUGUAGAAUUGGAGUACAAAUCCUUUUUGAACUUUUAGAUUGGAUAUUUCAGAAAACUUGAAACAAAACAAGUUCAUUAAAGUUCUGAAUCCCUCGUUCAUUUUUGGCUCAGUAUAAGCUACGAGCUCGAAGUGAUUCCUGUCCUUCACUUGAAAUAAGGAAUAACUCUUUUGUCCGGGAAAAGAAUGAUAAGGAAUGACUUGUGAGAAAGAGAGAGAAAUGAAACAUUUUUGACUCCAUAUAGCACUUGAUGUCAGCCCUGCUUACAGGAUUUUAUACUAGUAGUUUCAUUGCUACGGUUGUGCGGUUGUAUUUAUAUUUAAAAUGUAGUCUUCCUCCUCCUUUGUUUGAAUGUAUGGGCUUAUUGUUAUACCAAACAUUAUUCCCCUUUGUUCCGUGUAUUCUUGAGAAAUAUGAGGGAUGGAAAAGGGAGAAAAAAUUAGCACUCAAGUAUCACAGUGUGGUGCUUCUGUGUGUUAGCACUUGAUGUGUAUGUACAUUGUAAAGUGAUUGCUUUUGACUUUGUCUUUGUAGCACUGUUGUUCUGAUAAAACAUUUAAUUCAUCAGCUAGUGUUAAAAAAUAUACAAGUUCAACUUCAUCUCUGAUAUUAUGUGGUUCCACACAUAUGAUUACUUGCAUUUAUGUUUUCUAGGAAUUGCACUUGACAUAUGUGUGAUGAACAAUCAAACUUAAUGUGCACUUGGAUUUAUAGCCUAUUAUAGCGAUGGACCUAUAUAUUUUUGAAAUAGUAUCCUCUGAAUAAGUUUAUUGCUUCGUUUAGAAGCCUGCUUUAGCACCUAGAAGCUUUUUCGGGGUGGAAGAUUUUGUUGAUGAUGACAAUAGUCGUCCAUAUACUUACCAGAAGG